CAACCGAUUCCCUUGGUGAUUCAUGAUAACUUUUCGAAAUCAACUUUCGAUGGUAGGAUAGAGGCCUACCAUGGUGGUCCCACGGGUAACGGGGUGUUAGGGCACGACACCGGAGAGGGGGCCUGAGAAACGGCUACCACAUCCAAGGAUGGCAGCAGGCGCGCAAAUUACCCAAUCCCGACACGGGGAGGUAGUGACAAUAAAUAACAAUACGGGGUUCUUUCGGAUCUCGUAAUUGGAAUGAGUACAAUUUAAAUCUCUUAACGAGGAACAAUUGGAGGGCAAGUCUGGUGCCAGCAGCCGCGGUAAUUCCAGCUCCAAUAGCGUAUAUUAAAGUUGCUGCAGUUAAAAAGCUCGUAGUUGAAUUUCGGGGUUAGUAGGUUGGUCAUGCCUCUGGUAUGUACUGGUCUCACUGAUUCCUCCUUCCUGAUGAACCGUAAUGCCAUUAAUUUGGUGUUGCGGGGGAUUUGGACUGUUACUUUGAAAAAAUUAGAGUGUUUAAAGCAGGCUAACGCUUGAAUACAUUAGCAUGGAAUAAUGAAAUGAACCCAAACACUUUAUUGUUGGUUUCUAGGAUUGACGUAAUGAUUAAUAGGGAUAGUUGGGGGCAUUAGUAAGUUGAAUUUCGGGUUCAAUUGUCAGGUGGUUAGUAUAAAAGUUAGUAUUGAACCCAAACACUUUGGUUUCCCUUGGAUUAAUGCCAUUAAUUUGGUGUUGCGGGUACCUUAUGAACUGGUAUGUACUGGUCUCACU
rnacentral:sRNA from 1 species